rnacentral:rRNA from 1 species
GCAAGUCGAGCGCUUCACUUCGGUGAGGAGCGGCGGACGGGUUAGUAACGCGUGGGAACGUACCCUUUUCUACGGAAUAGCCAUUGGAAACGAUGAGUAAUACCGUAUACGCCCUUCGGGGGAAAGAUUUAUCGGAGAAGGAUCGGCCCGCGUUAGAUUAGAUAGUUGGUGGGGUAAUGGCCUACCAAGUCUACGAUCUAUAGCUGGUUUUAGAGGAUGAUC